CGCGUCCAAUGCAAUAUAGAGGUAUGAACAUGACGAAUUAAAGAAAUACCAUAUGUUGUUGAUGAUUCUUGGGUUGGAUUUUCAAUCAAUUGACCGUGGAUGUCAAUUCCCAUGUCUGUUCGUCUUUUUCUCUGCCGAUGUCUCGCUGAUGGAAGGAUGUGAACAUUCCCAAUUCCUGGUCACACAGAUUAAACAAGGAUCAAUCCAUUGCAGUUUUCCGCUGCUUACCUUUGUUGACUGAAAAUUGUGGCGAAUUUCCAGUUUCUAUUGUUUUCUUGAUUAUAAUGAAUCUAUUUCUUCUCGAGCGUGCGUUUAAUCUAUUGUUUCCUCUCCCGUAGGAAUUCAUGUUGAUACACGCUUGUGUCUCUCUUGCCGCGAACAGCGUCAUGGCUGCUGAUGUUUCUUCGAUGUCGAUUCAUUUUUGCCUUGUGAUGAAAGCACUCGCGCCGCAGAACUGGAGCCGCGGGCGCCGCCAAUCCAUGCUUUGGUCAAAAACGGACGAAGGCCACGCCGCCGUCGCGCCGGUAGGGGCGGUCGCUUGCCAGCAGUUGUCCGUUGUCAUCUGAUUCUGCUCCGGGAGGAGGAGGUAUGGGGUCGAGGCCCUCGGUUGUCUCCGUCGGACGCGCUCCUAUACAUUGCUCGAUUGGAGAGCAGCAAGUGCUGAUAACGUGUUUUGAGUGAAAAGUAAAGAACAAGAGAGUUGAAUGAAAGAUGAUCCAUCAGUCUUUAUUGAUGAUAGAAGUGGG
rnacentral:lncRNA from 1 species